rnacentral:hammerhead_ribozyme from 1 species
GUGCUGAUGAAGAGUCCCAAACUAGGACGAAACAGCUGUCCUGUAG